GAUGAAGAACGUAGCGAAAUGCGAUACGUAAUGUGAAUUGCAAAUUCAGUGAAUCAUCGAAUCUUUGAACGCACAUUGCGCCCCUUGGUAUUCCAUGGGGCAUGCUUGUUCGAGCGUCAUUUGUACUCUCAAGCUUUGCUUGGUGUUGGGUGUUUGUCCUUUCCUCGCGUUUGGACUCGCCUCAAAGUUAUUGGUAGCCAAUGUAUUGGUUUGAAGCGCAGCACAAUUUGAGAUUUAAGCUGGUAAUCAUUAGCCUCCAUCAAACAAUUUAACACUUUUGACCUCGGAUCAAGUAGGGAUACCCGCUGAACUUAAGCAUAUCAAUAAGCGGAGGA
rnacentral:misc_RNA from 1 species